ACGGGCGUAAUAGGAUGUGCUUGUCUGGACUAAUGGGCCGUGAACGCAUACACAAUCCCGUGGGAGGGUGGGCGAGUGCCCGAAGGGAUCGAGACGGGGAUGGUCGACAAAGGAGAUCGAAGGAAAACUUGGGUCUGGCGACGACGCACAGGUGGAAUUAAUCGGUCCUUCGAAUCGAUCCGGCAAAUUCUAUUUCUCCGCCGGCUGUCGAUGUUAUCGUUAACGCGGAAAUAUUGUGCAGUCAGCUUUCGUGCUCGAGCUGAAACGAUUCUGUUACACGCGACACCACGCCGUGAACGCGUCCCUGGAUAUCUUUUGAACGAUGUUCCAGCCCAGGAAAGGGCGACUUCGGUCGAUACGUGAUUCUCAACUGGAGGGACGAUUCAAUGGAUCGUGGCAGAAUUCAAGGAUUUUUUUUUCUAUGUCGAAUAUUGUUUUGGAAAGUGAUAUUUAUACUAUGGCAUCUCGUAGAUGGAGUAUUUAUAUUUUUGUAUAUUUCCAGAAAGAAAAAGCGAGAAAUUUGUGUUGUAUAAAUCCAUGGAUAUCUUUCCAGAUUCCAGAGGAACUUAAAAAUGCAGAAAUCUCGAAACUCGUAAAGAGAAAGUUACUUCAAUUUCUUUCAAAAAAAUCCAAUGAUUAUUUAAAUUUAUCCCUAGAAAAAAGAAGAAAUUAUAAAUAAAAAUUGCAUUACUUCGAUUAUACUUCGAGAAAACAUAUUUAGAGAUAAUUGCAAGGGAAAAAGGAUUAAAGGAUGGUAGAAACGAUCUCGUUUCCAGUAACGGAAGUAACAAAACACAGGAAGAACGAUGUCUCGGAUCGGCUGAUCGCGGGAAAUGCGAUUGCUUUCGUGGCAUUUCCGGGAUUCGAUGAAAGACAAUUUUUCUACCGGAUUGGGGAGGAGGUUGGAGUUGGGGGAGGUUGAAGGGUGGUCUAAUCUCGAACACAAACCGUAACAAGUCGCCGAGGGAGUUCGCGUCAAUUUUACCUUUUUCAUCCUCGAAAUGGCAAAAUAGAAAGAUAAUCCCACGGGUCUGGUCUUGUCUGGUGGAAGGAGAGGGAGAAUCGGCGCGGAGAACAUGAUUUUUCAACGGGGAAGGAAGAAGGAAAUAUCUCGAAAUCCUGUUACAUUUUAAUCCAACGAGUUUCGUUGGGCGGAUUAUUAGUUACGAUCUACGGAAUUUGACGAAAGAAAUCUAACACAUGCUCUUUUCGAAUCUAAGAAUUAAAGUUUCAGCAGCAGUUAGAUUUUUUUUUUAUCAUUUUGAACAACAAUUUUAAAAAUAAAUACAGAAUGAUAUAUCUCAAUGUUUGUUUCUUAGUUUCAUUAAAAAUUCGAUGAAUGUUUAAUGUUUCUUUUUUCUUUUCUUUUUUUCUUGAAUAUACUUUUUGGAGUUUAGUCGAUAGCCCGUUGGAAGGUCUAUCUACUUCAAUAUUUCAUUUCAGACCGUGGCCGUUUCACGGAAAGAAAGAAGCCGGGAGAUGCUGACUAAGACCUCUCCCUACGUACUCUAUCUAAUCUCCUUUAGUCGAGCCAUCAACCCUCUGUUCAUCAUCCUCUUCCUCCACCGUUCACGAACAAUGAAUCCGAGUAUUUAACCGACGAAGAAAGUGCUACAACGUUCGAUAACCGCGCGAAAUCUUCAUCGAUCGCCUCCACGAUCCAGUUAAUUGUUGUCCCUUUGUCCAAGAGAAUUUUGACUAUUCCGCAAAAUCUUGGCAAAAACUGGAUGUAGUCUUCUCUGAUCAUCGAGGAACAGCUCUGAGAUAAAUGGAAUCGAAAAUAUCAUGACAGAAAAAUUCAUUCGACGAAUAUUCGACGACCAGGUAGCUACGAUGGAAAGGAUAGGCAUUUUGUUCACGUGAAAAUGACAGAGGAAUCUUUUUCAAGAUGUUGACACAAGAAUGGUUGAAAUUUUGGAAAGGACAGAGUCAAUAUUGCGUUUUUCUUCGGCUGCGAAGGAAUUUAAGUCGUGUACACGAUCGGAAAGGCGAUUUCCAAAAGCGAGAAAAACGUUCGACAGUGGAUGAGAGUGUCGAUGAAUUCCAUUUUUGAUUGUGAAUCUCACGAUUAGAGCCAGAUGUUCACUCGGUUGGAAUAAGAUUGAAAUCGACGUUCGAGAAAAAUUCGUAUCGUUUCGGAGGAAUUUAAGUCAGAUUCAGAGAGAAAGAAAGAGAGAGACUUUUUCUUCUGGUUCGAUCGA